rnacentral:rRNA from 1 species
CGGAACCUACCGCUCUGGGAGGGGCCCGCGUCCCAUCAGUUUGUUGGUGAGGUAACGGCUCACCAAGGCUUACGGGUAGCUGGUCUGAGAGGACGGUCAGCCACACUGGGACUGAGACACUGCCCAGACUCCUACGGGAGGCUGCAGUCGAGGAUCAUUUACAAUGCGCGAAAGCGUGAUAAUGCGACGCUGCGUGGAGGAUGACGGCCCUAGGGUUGUAAACUCCUGUCAUGAGGGAAAAAUAGCAUGCGUGCGAAUAGCACGCGUGUUUGAUGGUACCUCAAGAGGAAGCCACGGCUAACUUCGUGCCAGCAGCCGCGGUAAUACGAAGGUGGCAAGCGUUGUUCGGAUUUACUGGGCGUAAAGCGUGCGUAGGUGGUAUCGUGUGUCGGAUGUGAAAGCCCAUGGCUCAACUGUGGAAUUGCAUUCGAAACUGCGGAACUAGAGUGCAGGAGGGGAGAGCGGAAUUCUUGGUGUAGCGGUGAAAUGCGUUGAUAUCAAGAAGAACACCGGUGGCGAAGGCGGCUCUCUGGAAUGUUACUGACACUGAGGCACGAAAGCUGGGGGAGCAAACAGGAUUAGAUACCCUGGUAGUCCCAGCCGUAAACGGUGCGCACUUGGUGUAGGGGGUAUUGACCCCCCCUGUGCCGGAGCUAACGCGUUAAGUGCGCCGCCUGGGGAGUACGGCCGCAAGGCUAAAACUCAAAGAAAUUGACGGGGGCCCGCACAAGCGGAGGAGCAUGUGGCUUAAUUCGAUGCAACGCGAAGAACCUUACCAGGGCUUGACAUGCAGCUGCUCAUCCGGUGAAAGCCGGACUCUUUCGAAGGUGCUGCACAGGUGCUGCAUGGCUGUCGUCAGUUCGUGCCGUGAGGUGUUGGGUUAAGUCCCGCAACGAACGCAACCCCUGUGGUUAGUUGCCACCGUCGGUGAUGAGCCGGCGAGCACUCUAGCCAUACUGCCCGUACAAGCGGGAGGAAGGUGGGGACGACGUCAAGUCAGUAUGGCCCUUACGCCCUGGGCUGCACACGUGCUACAAUGGGAGGUAUAGAAGGAUGCAAGACCGCGAGGUGGAGCAAAUCCGCAAAACCUUCCCCAGUUCGGAUUGGAGUCUGCAACUCGACUCCAUGAAGUCGGAUUCGCUAGUAACGGCGUAUCAGCUACGACGCCGUGAAUACGUUCCCGGGCCUUGUACACACCGCCCGUCACAUCAUGAAAGCCGUCUGCACCCGAAGUCGCUGAGCCAACU